rnacentral:rRNA from 1 species
GACGAACGCUGGCGGCGUGCCUAAUACAUGCAAGUAGAACGCACAGUUUAUACCGUAGCUUGCUACACCAUAGACUGUGAGUUGCGAACGGGUGAGUAACGCGUAGGUAACCUGCCUGGUAGCGGGGGAUAACUAUUGGAAACGAUAGCUAAUACCGCAUAAUAUUAAUUAUUGCAUGAUAAUUAAUUGAAAGGUGCAAUUGCACCACUACCAGAUGGACCUGCGUUGUAUUAGCUAGUAGGUGAGGUAACGGCUCACCUAGGCGGCGAUACAUAGCCGACCUGAGAGGGUGAUCGGCCACGCUGGGAAUGAGACACGGCCCAGACUCCUACGGGAGGCAGCAGUAGGGAAUCUUCGGCAAUGGACGAAAGUCUGACCGAGCAACGCCGCGUGAGUGAAGAAGGAUUUCGGAUCGUAAAGCUCUGUUGUAAGAGAAGAACGGGUGUGAGAGUGGAAAGUUCACACUGUGACGGUAUCUUACCAGAAAGGGACGGCUAGCUACGUG